rnacentral:lncRNA from 1 species
CAGCAGCAACCUGGAAUAGUAUCUGGCAGAGCAGUGUGAGGACACCACAGCCCUGAAGCAUCAGAGAUCUCCAGAAGCUCUGUCUUGAGUUCGCCACAUUUUGGGAGGACUUCAGGUAUAGUCAGAUCGGGGCCGUAGUACCUGUGCACCACUUCUGCCCCAGCCAGCUGCGACCAUUUUCAGCUCAGUUCUAACGCAGACCUUAAAGGAUAUAACCAGACAGUCGAAAAGGGCAACAGCUGGGGAUAAGAAGAAUUCACAGGUAUGAAAUGGCCAAUCUGUUGCUAUCAUUGUUGCUGCUACAGCUGAUCUGAUAGCAGACACCCACUGUUCUGUUCCCAGGAAGGGGGCAAGAUACCAGCUGCCUUUUGAGAGGCCCCAUAGCAUAGAAAUAAGGUGAGAAAUAGGAUAAGGCAUUCUAGCAUAGAAAAGAAGAUCAACAUGUGCUGGGCCCAUCCUAGACUCAAGCUCACCAGGGAGCCAUAAGCUCAUGGCUUGUGGGUGGGUAAAAUACUGUCUUUUCUAGAAAAGAGUUCCAAAAAUGUACUAGCU